CACCGGGGUAGUGUGGCGGUGACCCCUGGGUGCGGGACACAACCGUGGCCCGCAGAAGCGAAAACAAUGGCAGAGCCGGAAGCGAGAACAAGGCCCACUUCCGGCCCCUCCAGGAUCCCGGAAAUCUCUGUGGCGAAGGCAGAAAGACCAAGGAGAUGAGCAGGUCUCUGAGCUGCCUACAUGGAACUGGAAGUUGUUUCAGGGGCCCGAAGAACAUGAAGGGAUCACUUCCCGGUGCUUCCUUGGUUCAGGACUCUAACCAGCCCUGUGAGUAUGACGGACCUAAGCUCUGCCACUUACCAUCUGGGAUUUGUGACAACUUAUGUAUCCAUUUAGUCUUAAGUCUCUAUGUGUGAAAUGGAAAAAAAAAAAUCGAUGCCUGCUGACAUCUCCAACUUAGGAUUAAGUGAGGAUAUUGAACUGGACAAAACCAUAUGACUAAACAGAGGACUGCUACACUCACAUUCUGGAUAAAAAUUGGACACUCUGCAAAAAAAUUUUUUCCUAGUCACUGUCACACUGUACGCAGAAAACCAAUGGAUGGCCAAAUGUAAUUGUACCUUCCAAUCACAGUCUUUGGAAAACAACUUGUGUAAGUUUCCUGAUACCUCUGCAAUUUGCUGAUACAUAAGCCUGGCUUUUACUCCUCAGUGGGACACAGUUUGGGUUGCUACCCAAAUCAGUGCUCCCUGAAUUUCAAUUCUGAAAAAUCAAAUAAAUGCUUUUGUUGUAUUUCA